AUCCUUUGUCCCGGUUUGUUAGGUCAGGUCAGCUACAUUAUAAAUACUUUAAAACUAAACAACCAUUAAAAUUAAUUUUAUUAUUUUUAAUGUCCGUUCAGUUUCAAAGUAUUUAUAAUGUAGCUGACCUGACCUAAUCUACCUUUGUCCCGUUUUGUUAGGUCAGGUCAGUUACAUUAUAAAUACUUAAAACUAUACAAGUAAAAUUAAUUGAUAUUAUUUUUAAUUUCCGUUUAUUUUGAAGUAUUUAUAUGGUAACUAACCCUACCUAAUGGAAAAUUUCUGUUAUUUAGGCAUUCACGCGCACACGGCAAAAUAUAAAAUGGCGACGGUGAAAUGAUUACAUACGUCUGGUAUUGCAAAAUAAGAACGGCGAUAUCUCCAAAAGUAUUUGGAAUUUUUUAUCUCCACAGGCGGUUCUGAAAAGAGGACGUAAAAGAGCAUAUAAUGAAAGUUAUUUCAUAUUUGUACGAUUUUUCUUGGCGCUAAUCCGUACACUACAUAUUUACCCUUUUUUUAUACUUAGCCAAUAGUUUGUUUUGUAACUGAGUGACACAGUGUAUUGAUGAGGAAAAUGUCUUUAUCUGCGAUGUGAGGGAAUUUAUCAUGGGUAUGAUUUUGGUAUGAUUCUCGCCGGAAAAUUCUCUGACAGCAAAUUCGAACGGAUGUAACAACUGAACUUAUCUUCUUCAAUAUUUCAAUUUCCUGGCCCGUCACCAAUUCAGGACUAUCUGUAGCAUUGAGUAAGAGUUGCGAAGCAAUUUUUGACAUUUACAAAAAUCUAUCAAGUAUAAAGUAGGUAUAACGUAUUCCAGCAUGUUUUAACAUUUAGAAUAAUUUUUUUUUUCUAAUGCCGUCGUCUGUGUUCUCGUGUUCGAGUCCGGGCGUGGUUCCUAGCGGGGAGGCUGGUUUUUAAUGAAAGUGUAUCCGGGAGGCCGCCAGGCUAGCUCUGUGUCUAACCAAAAGUUGGUUCGUUGGGUGCGAAUGCACCUGCGUGGCCCGCUAGGACCGUCGGCAGUGGUUGUGGUUGGAGGGAUCCCUGGCUAUUAACAUGUUACAGGCCCUGUACAGCACAACACGCUGAUUCCUUGCUGGGUUAGGGAGACUCACACAAUAACAUACACAGAUUCGGUUUUGCACUGUCGGUAACACGUCGCGCAUGGAGUGUGCGGAGUGGACGUUUUAUUGGUUCGAACAGUUACACUUGCAGUUUACAUUUACACGAUGCACAUUGAAUUACCCUACAAAAUUACAUUAAAUUGACACUGGGCGCUCUGACGCACCGUCACUAAUCUUAAACCCUCAUGCCAGUCGAGGUUAAGGGGGAGGUCGAUUGGAGGCGGCCAAUCCCGAGAAUUGCAAAAGCGGCGGUACCCGGGUCCACCUGUGUGGACAGCGGCUCGCAGUGAAAUUAGUUACAAGUCCUAUGCGUCGUUGUUGCCGGUGCCUGUGCACUCGACGAUAUUAAAAAGUCAUUGGUGGCGGGAGUCGGCCCAUGCCGUAUGCUGAAAACUGCCCCGCGUAAUACUUCGUGCGGGGAGUUUAUAUUUAAGUGGCUGGGUUAGGCCCUACACCGUAAAAAGGACCGGGUACGCACAGGGAGUUUAAGCAAUGAAAGGGAUUUGAAUUAAUGACUAUAGUUACCAGUAGUUAAUUUCAGUGGAGACAAAGGAUGAUGACUCCCCGUGUGACGCACGUCCGCCCCGGUCCGCGAGUCGCUCGGUACCUACUGGUGUUAGCGCUUGGCGCGAGGGGCGGCCUCAGCGUUCUCUCGCGCCAAAGUUUCUAAAGUUCCGUUAUUCGGAAAUUAUUUAAUUAACAAGAGAUUGAAUGUGGCUCUAAAUUCAUACAUUAAAUAAUAAAGAUUAACAUAAUUUGCAGAUACUCUCUAAGAAUUAGAUUUAACAUGUUCACAUAAAUUACGUUUAAAUAAUAUGAGUCACACCAGAGACUGUUCGUCAGUUGUUGACUGCUCCAGUGGCGAGUUAUACACAAAAAAUGGGGAUGUCAUAAUUACGUUACACAAUACUCUAAUUAAUUUAGGCUGAAGGCCGCAAGAGAGUCACUCACAAAUGUAUUCACGUAAUUUCACACGUGAGUGACCCAGGCACUCCUACGUCGCACAUUCCUUGGGUGGGGUUUUUAAUAAAAAGUGGCGUUACUAUUAAAUUGUGUCUUAUUUCUAAUGAACUGGGGUCGAGGUGGCUGAUUAAUUUAGACAUGGUCCUUGAUUCUACCUGGUCCUCAGAGGCUCCCCUGACUCGGGUGGGCCAUUGCUAGGGGUGCGUUCCGUUAGCGGGGCCGGAUACUGGUUGUUACAGGUCGGGCUUUGGGGUGGCCUUCGGUCGGACGACGUCAGUACAUACUUCAGAAACUCCACUGUCAAUCUGUAUUUUUCUUAAUUUGUCUGACUAAAUUACACUGUUUUUUUUUACCCAUUUCAUAAUAUCUCUAACUUUUUUAAUAAUCGCAUUAACUUGAUUAGAAGUAUUGCUUAUUGAAGAAUCAACCAACAAAUUUAUUGUGUGCGCAAAACAUUGCGAAUGUUUUGAAUCACCAAGUGUAUUUUUCAUUGCAGCAACCAUAUUAACACUAAUGUCAGUAACUGCACAAGCGAUUUUAGACAGUGGAAUAUCCCAAUCAUUUAGAAUAUCAAUAAAACAUUUGCAAUAUAUUCAGCUGUGUGAUUUGAUUUGAGUUCCUUGGUUGCUAUAUUAACGCUAGUAAUAGCUAUCUUCUCUAGAAAAUGUACUGUAAUACCCAAAAAACAUUUCUCGUUCAUAGUUUCGGUCCAUAUAUCGAGAGUUACACAUAACUCAGUUGAAUUCGAUAUUCUCGAAGCAAAUUCCAUCUUUACAAUUUUGUAUUUGUCACAGAGUAACUUAUUGACAUUUGUUGAUGAAUGCACUUUGUAAUACGGUGCCAAUGCCUUCAUUAAUUUCAAAAACCCUUCUUCUUCAACAACAUUGAAGGGUCGCAUAUCUUUGCAUAUAAAAUAUAAUAUGAACAUAUUGGUAAAUAUGUAGCGUAGCGGUAUUUGCGAAAUUUUUUUUAAAACUCCGAAAAUACUUUAAUUAUAUGCUCUUUCACUUCCUCUUUUCAUUAAACCUGGCGGAGAUAAGAAAUUCCAAAUACUUUAGGAUAUAUCGCCAUUUUUAUUUUGCAAUACAAGACCUGUGCUAUCAUUCGGCCAUCGCAAUUUUUUUAUUUUGCAGUGUGUUCGUGAAUGCUUAAUUAAUUAAAAUGGUCAAUUAGGUCAGGUCAGUUACAUUAUAAUUACUUUCAAACUAAGCGCACAUUAAAAAUAAUAUGAAUUAAUUUUAAUGGUUGUUUAGUUUUAAAGUAGGUAUUUAUAAUGUAACUGACCUGACCUAACAAACCGGGACAAAGGAUGAACAGUAGGAACUCAUUUAAUUUUUUUUUACUUAUUACUUGCGCAACAAUAUCAAAAUAACAAAUAAAACAUUAAAAUUUGAAACGUUAAAAACUCAAUAAGUUAGAGGCGGGUAAACAAUGGUGAACGCCGCAAGAAAAAAAAAUUUCAUACUCGUAAACAAGAAACAAUUGUCAAUGCUGCAUGAAUGCACAGGGUGUUUUAGCAACAGUGAUAUAUGCUACAAUGUUAACAUCAUUCAGCUGAACUAUUUACAAAUUGAAGCAACAAGUCUACUCUCAUUGAAACUGGCAAAAACUUUUGAUAGAGGUAAGUGGUAUCUGUAAUAUUAUUGACAUAAUAGUUUAAUGUUGUCUUGUCAUACCCGUGACAGAAAAUGGCACAAAAGUAAAUUUUCUCUCAUCUCAGUAGAAGUAGUUAAAUCUGCUCUUCUAAAAGUGAUGUUAUGUAGCUGACAAUUAUAUCCUUAAAGCUCCAAUUUUUUAAAACUUAUAUUUUUUAAAGAAAAUUUGCUUCUUUUUAUGUCACACCCGUGACUACUUUAUGACACCACUACAUAAAAAUAUUGAUUCAGCUUUCUUAACACAAGAAAUUGCAUACAUUUUGUAAGACAAUUUUGUAGGAAGCCUUUAAAAUACUGUUUAUACAGUAAUUUAUUUUUCAAUGGUUUGGGAAUUAAGUAAAACUUUAGUUGAUUGUCACACCCAUGAUAGAAAAGAUAUAUACAAAUAAUUGUUUGCCUUAUUUGAGCAGGAUGUAGUAAAAAUUGCACAUGUCAGAUGGAAGUUGUGCACUUGACUGUUAUAUCAUAAAAUAACAUACAACUUAAUUAGGAGUACGUCUGUAGAUCACCAAAAUGUCGCUGUUUGUUUUUAAGAUAAAAUGAGUUCAACAGAUCGAUUGAAAAAGCUCCGUGAGAAGCUGAAGAAGGACAUAGAAAGGAGAGAAAUACACUUGCAAAAGGAACGGGAAAGGGACAAGAAAAGAAGAGAGCGUGCGAAAAAACUGAUGUCCAAGCAGAAGUUAAAAUUAAAGCGUUUACAGGAUGCAAAAGGCAAAAGCGGUGUAGGCAAAGCAAAAAAGGAAAAAAGUGGAAUAAAUGUUAAACCAAACCUAGGCUCAUAUCGCUGCCGACAAUCUCUCGGCAAGGCAGUAAAUCAAAUAUAAAAAGCAUUACCACACAGCCCAGGGAAAAAAAUGGCAGUUAUAAGAAAGUUAGUACAUGACACACCGGAAGUUGCAAAACAUUUACUAGAAGAGAAAAGUGAGCAAAAGAGAUCCACUUCUUGCAAUGAAAUGUGUCAACGUACUGUCAAACAGUUUUAUUGUUGUGACGAUGUAAGCCGCUAGGCACCAGGCAUCAAAGAUGCCAUAUCAAUCACGAACUUUGCCCCAAACAUGUUCUUUUGUCUUUGCAAAUGCCUCACAGUGUUUGCAUUUGCAGAUAUCACUCUAACAUCAGUUUUCUUGUUGAAUCCAUCAAUAAGAACGUUAAAACCUUUCCAGGUAAUAUAAACGAACUGAUAAAAAAACUCAUGUUGUGAUUUAAUGAAUGAUCAAUGUGCAACUGGUUUAUGUGAGGUCUGUGCUAAUGAAAUAUUUCUUCCCCAUGACUGUGAUGUUAAUUCAACCAUUAUUUGGAAAAAAUGGAGUGAAUUAGACAAUUGACCAAAGCUUGUAGAUAUCAAAGGUCCUUUACAGAAUGCUGUUAAGGAGUUGAAUGCACAACUGCCGACAUUUAAGGUACAUGCUUACGUUAAGAAGGUUCAGGCUAAGUCAUUUGAGGAAUGCAAGUUAAAUGCUCAAGACAACUGCAUCUGACUUGUGUGUAGGUAAAAAUAUAGAAACCCUUCAAGUGAAUGACUUUGUCCUGGUAGAAUUUGCAAGUAAGAAUUCUUAGGAAUACUUUAUUGGUCAAAUUGAGGGUAAAGAGUUCAGUGAUUUUCAUAUAACAUUUCUGCGUAAGAAAAGUGAUUCCUGGAUUUUUUUAUUUCAACAACAAAGUGAUAUUUAUCUGGUGUCAGCCAGUGAUAUUGUGAUGAAACUUCCAGAACCAUCAUUCUCAGGUGUCACAUUAAGGGAUGCUUCCACCAUGUCAUUCACAGUAGAUUUGUCUCAAUAUAGUGUAGGUUGAUGUUUCAUUUAUAAUUUCAUAUCAUGCAUAGAAAACAAGCCAGAAUUAAACAUUAUCAGUUCCUGUUUACGUAAUUACUGUGUUAACUCUGAAAAUAAUUUUUUCAUAGAGUGAAUUGGUGUCACACCCGUGACAAAAGUGUGUCACACCCGUGACAGAAUAAUUUUUUUUUUAGUAAUCAGAUGUAAUAGUUAUUGAAUUUUCAUGGGCUUGAACCCAAUUGUCUUGAAAUCCUUUUUUAUUGUAUCAUAGUUUUAAAUUUUUAAUUCUGAUAAAUUCACAGAAUUUUACAAUGAUAUUAAUGGAAGUGAAAUGAACUGUCUAUUUUUGUCACACCCGUGACAUAACUUUCCCUAUUAUUGAAUCAAAAUAACCACCAAAUAAAACAACAACGAAUUAGCUCAAAAUGUUCACCUGGCAUUGUACUACAAAUGUGUGACCAUUAUUUAAAGCUAAAUAAAUCAUAAUGUUGUAAUAAAUUAUUUUGAAGGCUGAAAACUGGUCUGAAAAUGUCACACCCGUGACAAUGGAUUAACCCUUCUCUAAUCUUCACUGAUAUUACGUAAUUUAAUUUUUCUCUUGCUUAUUCCUUUUUUAAAUACUUGUAGCAACCCUGGGUGGUGCCAAUGCAAAGGGAAGUCUCACCAACAGAAAAUAAGAGCCAAAACCUAACAUAGUGCCAGAUGAUAACAAUAACUCAAUAAAUCUACAAAUUACUACACUCUUGUGAAAAAUAGGCCUCUAAAUUUAAGAUACAUAGUUUCUUUCCUUUUUCACUUUUUUAUAAAAAAUAUUUAAGUUUACUUGAAACUGUAUUGUAACCAUAUUUGUUGGUUAAAAACACAAAAUGCUCAGCUAUGCUGAUUUCAUUUAUAGCCAACAAAACAUUUUCUGCCCAAAUUGUAACUUUUAAAAAUAUAUAUGUUUUUUAAUCUAAAACUUUACAUAUAUUUCUAUAUAUAGACUGGGUUGGCCUGUCAACAUGCUAAAACUUUAAACAACACUGGACAGAUAUUUUCUACAUGAAUAAUAGAAUACAGUACAGUCCCGCUAAUCCGAACCCCGCUAAUCCGAAAAUCCGCCUAAUCCGAACAGAGGUAGGACGAAAAAAGAAAUAUUUUUAUAACAAUUAUGAACCUUGAAAAGCAAAGAAAAACAAGUUCUUUUUCAAGUAAUGUCUUACGUUUAUUAAUAUGUACAUAAGAAAAUUAUGAUUUAUCUAUUUCUCCUUCAACUAAAAAGAAAAAAAUAUGAUUACGUACGUAGUACUUAAAUAUUUACGUAUUUAUAUUAUGCUAAAUACGCUAAAUAAUAAAGGUGUGUUUUGUGUCUGAUCUUUAAUAUUUGACACAUCAGAUGUUAAAUAGCCCACGCCUCAUAAAGACCAUAAAUGGCAUUAUAUAAGAAAAUUCCGCCUAAUCCGAAUGUUCGCUAAUCCGAACAGGGUUCGGUCCCAAUUAGUUUGGAUUAGCGGGACUCUACUGUAGUUAUUUUCAGUACAUAUUUACUCUGCAAUUCACUAUAACUGCGUAAAAAAUAGGACUGUUUUUGUCCAACCUUAACUGGAAUGCAGUACUACUAUAAAAUCUCUUGAAUCACUGUUGCUAAAAUGAUGCAGUAUUGAAGUGCUGUCAUCUUUUACCGCAACACCACCACAUAAAUAAUUAUUAUUACAGUAGAACUGUGUUAUAAUGUUUUUCAAGGGGGCCAAAGGAAAAAAAAACAUAAGCAGGAAAACAUAAGAAGGAAAUUUAAUGUUAAAACCACUGAUGUGUACUCUCAAUGCUUGAGUUUUCUUAAACCAAUAAAACAAUUUUCCUUCAACUCCAUGGUACUUCCAGCUUCUGUCUUCUUUGUCUUCACACACACACUACCACAUCUCUGUAAAAUUGUCUUACAAUUCAAAAUGAUAGCAUUUAGAAUUGAAAUGCCUAUGUCCAAUUCCUUCACUGCUUGAACAUGAUUUUUUUUGUGGAUUCGUAUCUACAAAUGAAAGAAAUCAAACACUUUUUGCUCUAGCGGAACGAUUGGCAAACUAAAAUAUUGUACAACUUAAAUUUUUGUUUGCAUUUCUUGACUUUUAGAAAAUGAGUUAUAAGCAGGAAAUAUAUAAUUUGUGAAAUGUUAUAUACAGGAUGUAAAUACAUUAUCCAUAUGGGGAAAAUUUUGGGACAUUUAAAAAGAUGGCAUUAUAAGCAGGAAAACAUUACAGGCAGGAACAUUUUAACAAGGUUCUGCUGUAUUAUUAUAGUGCAAACCAGAUGUUAGAAGUUAUAUGAUUCCAAAUCCAACAAAAUACUGUAAAUUAUAAUGAAAAUACUCUGACUGUUUAUUCCAUUACUCAGGACACCUCAACGGUGGUGUAAAUUGACUCCCAACUGGGUCAAGAUUUUUUCUUUAAGUUUGGAAAGUAGUGAACAGUUAAGGAGGGUAGCGUGGUAAACUCUGAAAUGAUUUCUUAUGUCUCCCAUCUAGUGCUCCCUCAGGUUGUGUGAAGGAGAAUUCUUUCCAGAUUAGGGAAUUAAAUAUCUGGGGCUGAAAAAAAUUAGCAAAAUUAUGAAGAACAAAGUGAUAAGCUAAUAGCUGAAGCAAGAUGGUAAUGUUUCUGGAAUGAUUCAAAGCUAGAAUACCACAAACAUGGCUGGGUUGAUACCACCACUAACAAUACACUUAAGAUAAAUCAUUUGUGUUACCUACCAUUAUAUUCUCUUUAGUUUCUUUGUCAAACUAUCAAUCAAUUUCUUCUGUUUAGUAUCCAAGGUCCUCUUCAUAGGAGACAUGUUGGCUGGUUUUUUGAAUGUAAAAAAAAAAAAAAAACCCACAAUUUUAUGUUACUUACUAAUCACAAUACCUAAAUAUUUAGAAAAAAUGUAUUUUCAAAUAAACAUAUAAGAGUUCUUAUUACAGGCUAUAAAUAAGUCUGAAGUUCCAUAUUUGUGUGUUUCUAUUACACACAAGUUUAGUGUUUUUGUUGGUCUGUUAUCAUACAAAAAAUUUUUCCUAUCUGAAGUAAAAGUAAUGUUUUUGACGCUAUUGUAAUAUUCAAUGACAGUUCAGUCACAAGAAUAGAAAUUCAGUAAUUUGGAAAACUUGAGAUUUCAACAAUUAAAUAUGAUUUAAUGUUUUGUGUAAUGCUUUAUUUUUAUGUAAAAAGGCCAUCCAAUAUUUGCAAGGUGGAACUGGGCUGAAUUAAAUCCACAAAAAUACAUAUUUUUAGACAGGAGUAUAUAAACACGCAAACAAUGCUGGUCUGGACUAUUUUUUUUCUAGUACCUUUAAAUGAAAUCUUUUAAUAAAACCUUUAAUAAUAAAGGGAAUUGAGUUGCGUAGAUAUAAUGUAAAUUUUAAUAUAUAUUUUAUAGUGUCAAACAUGUUUCUAUCCAAAAACAAAAGACGGUAAACAAAAUAUUUUUAGACUAAUUCUUCAGAAUAGCUAGGAAGUAGUGAAGCUCUUUUGUCAAUGUGAUUAAUAGGGUUUUCAUUGGUUCUUAGUUCUUUGUAUUUUAGUUUUGUUGUUUUGUUUGCAUGUGGAAUUUUUUUUACUGAUGUUAAACAAUGUAAUAUUUACACUUAAAUUCUAAUUCUUAAUGUGAAGGAAAUUUAGGAAACAAACUGAAGAUCUACAAUGCAAUAUGCCCAUUAUACAUUGUUUAAUUAUAUUCCCUCAAAGUAAUCAUUAAAAGGACAUUUAUAUUUUGUAACAGCUGUGAAAUGUAAGCCUAUAUGCUAUGUAUGGUUUAAGUUGACAAUGUUAGUCAUUCAUUUGUCAACCAUGGAAAAGAAGAGGUUGGUUGUUUCAGUUAGGCAGUGACUUCAAUUAAAAUUCUGCUGUGCAGCUUAUCAUAAAUAAAUCAACAUGUAGAUACUUAUACCAAUGUUCUUUUUGUAAGGAAUUGUAUUUGUAUUUUUUUUAUUGCUGCCCCCUAAUGUGGUGGGUUUAAAACUCAUAGGUAUCUUGAGAAUUCUAUAUUAGUAUUAAGCCUACAGUCAAAUUAAUAUAACUACACUUUUACACUUCAGUGCGACUGUAAGUGCAACAUUUACCAGUGUUUACUGUUAAUAGGCAUGAGGAUAUUUAAUAAAAUUUACUUUUUGUUGUGAGUGCUAGUGGUAGGUUGUGAUGUCAUUGCCUGUUGAAAUAUAACUUGUUUUGUUUGUACAUACUUAUUAUCAAUUGCAUACUCCUGAUAUUGUUACACCUAACUUUAACUUAAAUAACGAAGGUGAUUUAUUUACUAAUUUUUAUAUGGAGAUAUUAAUUUUCUUUUAGCUCACUGUUGCAGUGGUUUAAGUUUCUGAACAGAGUUUCGAUUUACCCUGUUCAUGUGGAUGUGAAAUAAAUCUCAUUAAAUGUAUUUGGUCUGACAUCAACCGUGCACUUUCUUAAUCUCAAUGCAUUGUGUCUCUGGGAUGAUGUGUUGUCCACUUUGUGUUUGCAGUGUUUGCAUAUGUGUGUACCUUAUUUAUUGCUAUUUAAGCAGGGUGCCAGAAACUCCAAAGGUUUAGUAACAGCAAAUUAGUAAUCCUUUUGAGUGCUUUCAAGACUGUGUACUGGAUGUUGCAUGCCUAAAAUUUACUCUGAAAAAACACAUUUUUAACCAUUUUCACUCUUCCUAAAAAUACAGUUUUAAAUUGGCAAUGUAUUUUGUGUGUUUUAGUAGUAGGCUAUGUUUUUAAGAGUUUUCGUGUAGUAAUAAUUGGCAAUUUUUGAAAAUAGUAAAUGGUAAUAUUUUUAUUAAUUGCUUUUAGCUGCCAAAAACUUAAAUUUUCUGUUUACUAUAAUUUCUUUGUUUUGUUAACUAUUUGUAUAUAAAUACAUAUAUUUGUGUUUCAUUAAUGUAAGGCUUAUGUUUGAUUAAAAAUAUUUUAUAUAU